rnacentral:rRNA from 1 species
GACGAACGCUGGCGGCGUGCCUAACACAUGCAAGUGGAGCGACGAACCAGGCUUCGGCCUGGGGCAAAGCCGCGAACGGGUGAGUAACACGUGGGUAACCUGCCCUGAUGAUUGGGACAACCCGAGGAAACUCGGGCUAAUACCGAAUGUGCCCUCCGGCCUCAAGGCCGCUGGGGAAAGGAAGCUUCGGCCUCCGCAUCGGGAUGGGCCCGCGGCCCAUUAGCUUGUUGGUGAGGUAACGGCNCACCAAGGCGACGAUGGGUAGCUGGUCUGAGAGGACGAUCAGCCACACUGGGACUGAGACACGGCCCAGACUCCUACGGGAGGCAGCAGUGGGGAAUCUUGCGCAAUGCGCGAAAGCGUGACGCAGCAACGCCGCGUGGGGGAAGAA